UACGGAAGGGGGCUAGCGUUGCUCGGAAUCACUGGGCGUAAAGGGUGCGUAGGCGGGUCUUUAAGUCAGGGGUGAAAUCCUGGAGCUCAACUCCAGAACUGCCUUUGAUACUGAGGAUCUUGAGUUCGGGAGAGGUGGAGUGGAACUAGCGAGUGUAGAGGUGAAAUUCGUAGAUAUUCGCAAGAACACCAGUGGCGAAGGCGGCUCACUG
rnacentral:rRNA from 1 species